rnacentral:rRNA from 1 species
UACGUAGGAGGCGAGCGUUGUCCGGAAUCACUGGGCGUAAAGCGCGUGUAGGCGGAUGACUAAGUUUGCUGUGAAAGCGCCUGGCUUAACCGGGCGAGGUCGGCGAAAACUAGUCGUCUGGAGGCCGGUAGAGGGGGGUGGAAUUCCGGGUGUAGUGGUGAAAUGCGUAGAGAUCCGAGGAACACCCGUGGCGCAGGCGGCCCCCUGGCCGCGCCUGACGCUGAGACGCGAAAGCGCGGGGAGCGAACGGG